UUAAGUUAGAAAGGGCGCACGGUGGAUGCCUUGACACUAGGAGUCGAUGAAGGACGGGACUAACGCCGAUAUGCUUCGGGGAGCUGUAAGUAAGCUUUGAUCCGAAGAUUUCCGAAUGGGGAAACCCACCAUACGUAAUGGUAUGGUAUCCUUAUCUGAAUACAUAGGGUAAGGAAGACAGACCCAGGGAACUGAAACAUCUAAGUACCUGGAGGAAGAGAAAGCAAAUGCGAUUUCCUGAGUAGCGGCGAGCGAAACGGAACAUAGCCCAAACCAAGAGGCUUGCCUCUUGGGGUUGUAGGACAUUCUAUACGGAGUUACAAAGGAACGAGGUAGACGAAGCGACCUGGAAAGGUCCGUCGUAGAGGGUAACAACCCCGUAGUCGAAACUUCGUUCUCUCUUGAAUGUAUCCUGAGUACGGCGGAACACGUGAAAUUCCGUCGGAAUCUGGGAGGACCAUCUCCCAAGGCUAAAUACUCCCUAGUGAUCGAUAGUGAACCAGUACCGUGAGGGAAAGGUGAAAAGCACCCCGGAAGGGGAGUGAAAGAGAUCCUGAAACCGUGUGCCUACAAAUAGUCAGAGCCCGUUAACGGGUGAUGGCGUGCCUUUUGUAGAAUGAACCGGCGAGUUACGAUCCCGUGCGAGGUUAAGCUGAAGAGGCGGAGCCGCAGCGAAAGCGAGUCUGAAUAGGGCGUUUAGUACGUGGUCGUAGACCCGAAACCAGGUGAUCUACCCAUGUCCAGGGUGAAGUUCAGGUAACACUGAAUGGAGGCCCGAACCCACGCACGUUGAAAAGUGCGGGGAUGAGGUGUGGGUAGCGGAGAAAUUCCAAUCGAACCUGGAGAUAGCUGGUUCUCCCCGAAAUAGCUUUAGGGCUAGCCUUAAGUGUAAGAGUCUUGGAGGUAGAGCACUGAUUGGACUAGGGGGUCCUCAUCGGAUUACCGAAUUCAGUCAAACUCCGAAUGCCAAUGACUUAUCCUUAGGAGUCAGACUGCGAGUGAUAAGAUCCGUAGUCAAAAGGGAAACAGCCCAGACCGCCAGCUAAGGUCCCAAAGUGUGUAUUAAGUGGAAAAGGAUGUGGAGUUGCUUAGACAACUAGGAUGUUGGCUUAGAAGCAGCCACCAUUUAAAGAGUGCGUAAUAGCUCACUAGUCGAGUGACUCUGCGCCGAAAAUGUACCGGGGCUAAAUACACCACCGAAGCUGCGGAUUGAUACCAAUGGUAUCAGUGGUAGGGGAGCGUUCUAAGGACAGUGAAGUCAGACCGGAAGGACUGGUGGAGUGCUUAGAAGUGAGAAUGCCGGUAUGAGUAGCGAAAGACGGGUGAGAAUCCCGUCCACCGAAUGCCUAAGGUUUCCUGAGGAAGGCUCGUCCGCUCAGGGUUAGUCAGGACCUAAGCCGAGGCCGACAGGCGUAGGCGAUGGACAACAGGUUGAUAUUCCUGUACCACCUCUUUAUCGUUUGAGCAAUGGAGGGACGCAGAAGGAUAGAAGAAGCGUGCGAUUGGUUGUGCACGUCCAAGCAGUUAGGCUGAUAAGUAGGCAAAUCCGCUUAUCGUGAAGGCUGAGCUGUGAUGGGGAAGCUCCUUAUGGAGCGAAGUCUUUGAUUCCCCGCUGCCAAGAAAAGCUUCUAGCGAGAUAAAAGGUGCCUGUACCGCAAACCGACACAGGUAGGCGAGGAGAGAAUCCUAAGGUGUGCGAGAGAACUCUGGUUAAGGAACUCGGCAAAAUGACCCCGUAACUUCGGGAGAAGGGGUGCUUUCUUAACGGAAAGCCGCAGUGAAUAGGCCCAAGCGACUGUUUAGCAAAAACACAGCUCUCUGCGAAGCCGUAAGGCGAAGUAUAGGGGGUGACACCUGCCCGGUGCUGGAAGGUUAAGGAGAGGGGUUAGCGUAAGCGAAGCUCUGAACUGAAGCCCCAGUAAACGGCGGCCGUAACUAUAACGGUCCUAAGGUAGCGAAAUUCCUUGUCGGGUAAGUUCCGACCCGCACGAAAGGUGUAACGAUUUGGGCACUGUCUCAACCAGAGACUCGGUGAAAUUAUAGUACCUGUGAAGAUGCAGGUUACCCGCGACAGGACGGAAAGACCCCGUGGAGCUUUACUGUAGCCUGAUAUUGAAUUUUGGUACAGUUUGUACAGGAUAGGCGGGAGCCUUUGAAACCGGAGCGCUAGCUUCGGUGGAGGCGCUGGUGGGAUACCGCCCUGACUGUAUUGAAAUUCUAACCUACGGGUCUUAUCGACCCGGGAGACAGUGUCAGGUGGGCAGUUUGACUGGGGCGGUCGCCUCCUAAAGUGUAACGGAGGCGCCCAAAGGUUCCCUCAGAAUGGUUGGAAAUCAUUCGUAGAGUGCAAAGGCAUAAGGGAGCUUGACUGCGAGACCUACAAGUCGAGCAGGGACGAAAGUCGGGCUUAGUGAUCCGGUGGUUCCGCAUGGAAGGGCCAUCGCUCAACGGAUAAAAGCUACCCCGGGGAUAACAGGCUUAUCUCCCCCAAGAGUCCACAUCGACGGGGAGGUUUGGCACCUCGAUGUCGGCUCAUCGCAUCCUGGGGCUGUAGUCGGUCCCAAGGGUUGGGCUGUUCGCCCAUUAAAGCGGUACGCGAGCUGGGUUCAGAACGUCGUGAGACAGUUCGGUCCCUAUCCGUCGUGGGCGUAGGAAAUUUGAGAGGAGCUGUCCUUAGUACGAGAGGACCGGGAUGGACGCACCGCUGGUGUACCAGUUGUUCUGCCAAGGGCAUAGCUGGGUAGCUAUGUGCGGAAGGGAUAAGUGCUGAAAGCAUCUAAGCAUGAAGCCCCCCUCAAGAUGAGAUUUCCCAUAGCGUAAGCUAGUAAGAUCCCUGAAAGAUGAUCAGGUUGAUAGGUUCGAGGUGGAAGCAUGGUGACAUGUGGAGCUGACGAAUACUAAUAGAUCGAGGACUUAACCAU
rnacentral:rRNA from 1 species